UACGAGGGGGGCAAAUGUUGUUCGGAAUCACUGGGCGUAAAGGGCGCGUAGGCGGGCUUCUAAGUUAGGUGUUUAAUCCCGGGGCCCAACCCCGGACAGGCACCUAAAACUGGGAGUCUUGAAUAGUGGAGAGGUCGGCGGAAUUGGGGGUGUAGCGGUGGAAUGCGUAGAGAUCCCCAAGAACACCAGUUGCGAAGGCGGCCGACUGGACACAUAUUGACGCUGAGGCUCGAAAGCAUGGGGAGCAAACAGG
rnacentral:rRNA from 1 species